CCUCCACACUGUUUUAACAGUCAUUCACGGCAGAAGCUUAAUCUACAGGGUAAAGAACCAAAAACUCCUUACCACGAAGAGAUUAAUCCAGCUCCUGGAUCUACAGUUGUAGACUACUGCUGUAUUGCUGACCACUACACCACAGGGUCAACUGUAAGUGCCUUUGAGGCUGUCAAUGCAUCUUUUACCACAUUUAAACACAUUUUAUUUACGUGUCACCCUAGCACCAUUAUGGAGAGUAUCGUGAUGCAUGCAUGUGGUGUAGAACAUGCAUGCAUCAUGAUACUCUCCAUAAUGGUUAUUUUUGUU